rnacentral:rRNA from 1 species
GACAGAGGGUGCAAACGUUGUUCGGAAUUACUGGGCGUAAAGCGCGUGUAGGCGGCUUUGCAAGUCGGGUGUGAAAUCCCACGGCUCAACCGUGGAAGUGCACUCGAAACUGCAAGGCUAGAGUCCUGGAGAGGAAGGUGGAAUGCUUGGUGUAGAGGUGAAAUUCGUAGAUAUCAAGCGGAACACCGGUGGCGAAGGCGGCAUCCUGGACCGACACUGACGCUGAGGAGCGAAAGCCAGGGGAGCAAACGGG